CCGCCAAGGGACUACAACCCCAGUUUAAAACCCAAAGGACUUGGCGGUGCUUUACACCCCCCUAGAGGAGCCUGUUCUAAAACUGAUAACCCUCGUUAAACCUCACCCUCCCUUGUUUUAUCCGCCUAUAUACCGCCGUCGUCAGCUUACCCUCUGAAGGCAAAACAGUGAGCAAAUUAGUACAACCCAAAACGCCAGGUCGAGGUGUAUUAUAUGGGAGGGGAAGAAAUGGGCUACCUUCGUCUACUGACGAAUAACGAAUUUUUGUUGAAAGAUAAAUUUGAAGGAGGAUUUAUCAGUAAAAAGGAAAUAUAUUGUCC
rnacentral:rRNA from 1 species